UACGUAGGGUGCAAGCGUUGUCCGGAAUUAUUGGGCGUAAAGAGCUCGUAGGCGGUUUGUUGCGUCGGCUGUGAAAUCCCGAGGCUCAACCUCGGGUCUGCAGUCGAUACGAGCAAACUAGAGUGUUGCAGGGGAGACUGGAAUUCCUGGUGUAGCGGUGAAAUGCGCAGAUAUCAGGAGGAACACCGGUGGCGAAGGCGGGUCUCUGGGCCGUAACUGGACGCUGGAGGAGCGAAAGCGUGGGGAGCGAACAGG
rnacentral:rRNA from 1 species